AUAAUGUUUCAAACUCACUAAUAAAACGAAUUCUGUUCUUAUCAGCUUAAUUAUCUGAUACGAGCCCUAUUUGGACCUCAUCGAUAUUAUCAUUAUUUUUGGCCCGAGACAGUGUGUCCUGAAGCUCGCCUCGGCACUGUCAAGGGUUGCCCUGGUAUUGCACUACCUCCAGGUGUGGCCCACCCGUC